rnacentral:rRNA from 1 species
AUUGAACGCUGGCGGCAUGCCUAACACAUGCAAGUCGAGCGGAGCUGCGGACGGGUGAGUAAUGCCUAGGAAUCUGCCUGGUAGUGGGGGAUACCGUCCGGACACGGGCGCUAAUCCCGCAUCCUAUCAGCUGAGCCUAGGUCGGAGUAGCUAGUUGGUGGGGUAAGGGCCUACCAAGGCGACGAUCCGUAACUGGUCUGAGAGGAUGAUCAGUCACACUGGAACGGAGACACGGUCCAGACUCCUACGGGAGGCAGCAGUGGGGAAUAUUGGACAAUGGGCGAAAGCCUGAUCCAGCCAUGCCGCGUGUGUGAAGAAGGUCUUCGGAUUGUAAAGCACUUUAAGUUGGGAGGCGUUACCAACAGAAUAAGCACCGGCUAACUUCGUGCCAGCAGCCGCGGUAAUUC